rnacentral:rRNA from 1 species
UACGGAGGGUGCAAGCGUUAAUCGGAAUUACUGGGCGUAAAGGGUGCGUAGGUGGUUAGAUAAGUUAUCUGUGAAAUUCCUGGGCUCAACCUGGGAAGGUCAGAUAAAACUGUUUGACUCGAGUAUGAGAGAGGGUAGUGGAAUUUCCGGUGUAGCGGUGAAAUGCGUAGAGAUCGGAAGGAACACCAGUGGCGAAGGCGGCUACCUGGCUUAAUACUGACACUGAGGCACGAAAGCGUGGGGAGCAAACAGG